UAAAAAAAACUUAUUAAAAUAAUUAAAUAAUUUUAUUGAAAACAAAUUUAUUAAAAAAUUCCUUCCAAAAAACCUUUCAUUUUCCCCCUUGCUCUCCCCAAACCCUCAACCUCUCUAUCUCCAUCCCAAAACCCAUGCUAACCCAAGCCUUUCGUGAAGACUCACACUGACGACGAUGACCCACGCUGCGACGAUCCACACCACGACGACCCACUCCGCUACGACCCACGCAACAGACUCUUACCCAUGACGAUUCCGACCAAAAUCUUCACCUUCCUUGUCCAACCUUGUCCGACGAGCCUCCAACGGCAGCGACCUGCAGACAACGGUGUGGGUGUACCCAACCUCUGACCACGAGCGACUAGCCUCACCGACGACAACCCACUCAGAUUGACGCCUAGCGUUAUUCUCUAGUGGAGGAGGCGGUAAAGACGUGGAGGCGGCAAUGGCGGAGGAGUGGAGAAUGAAGCGGGCAGAGAAGUUGUCGUUGCCGCCGACUUCAAUCAUUUUUGGAGGAGUUUUUGGCCAGAGAAAAUUGUCAGGCGUUGCCGGAGUGCCAUCAUUUUUUUCAUUUGGAGUGUAUUGAGGUUUGGUUUAGCAAGAAAUUUACGUGCCCUAUCUGCCGUAAUUGUGUUGCAACUUAGAUUAAUUUCUUCUUCUUCCUCUCAUUUCUUUUCUCUCUACGUUGAUUAGAGAAUUUUACAUAUAAUUAUAGCUUUUAAUUUGGCCUUCGUUUUUAAAUUUUAUCUUUGAAACUACAAAACUUAAAUAGGUAAAGUAACAUAAAUUCUUCUCUAGCUGCCUCUUAUGAAAAUCAUGCCUAACCAUUGGAAUUGGAUUGAAGUGUUUGGAUGUUAUUAUGAAUCCUUGGAACUCUUCUGUUGAUAUGUUUGCGUCAGUUUCAAGGUUCGAUCAAUCUUAUCUUUUGUUUGGCAAUGAAGAGUACCUAUUCAUAUUUCAAGAAGCAUAUGGGCCUGUGAUGCAUUAUCUUUUCAAUGACCCUUGGUAAUGUUAUGCAUUCUAUGUCUAACUACGAAGAUUAGGUAUGUUGAGGUAAAUAUGGAUUCUGAAGCUCUUGUCUGGCCAUUAUUCAACAGUUUGCAAGCAUUUUGGUCAGGCUUCAGAUUGAUACAAGAAACUCAUACUCACAACUUGAAUUGGAUGAAGUACGAGUGGAGUGGGCUGAAUUUUUAGCUCGGUACAUAUGAUAGAUACACCUAUAUAUGAUCUUCUUAAUUUUGUAUAUGGCUAACAUAGGAGAAUGUCCAUAACAUUUUUUGUGUAAAUGUUUUGUUCAUAGCCAUUAUACUUACAUGUUAGACAAUAGAUGCAAGAAGAUAGACUUUAGUUUUGGUACACAAGAUAGUUAUUAUUAUUGGUUAUAUAAGGUAGCUAUUCUUAUUGUUGAUUUUGGAAUAGGCCACAGAUAGGAAAUUUUAGUUGGCUAUAUUUGGAUUGAAAUUGUGUAAUUGUUUUUGACAUUGGUGAGAAGAAUGAAAUUAUUGUUGGUUUACUUAA